rfam:Triticum aestivum genome assembly, contig: Triticum_aestivum_CS42_TGACv1_scaffold_249182_3DL
UAAGUACUCCCUCCGUCCCGAAUUAGUUGUCUUAGAUUUGUCUAGAUACGGAUGUAUCAAGACACAUUUUAGUGUUAGAUACAUCCGUAUCUAGACAAUCUAAGACAACUAAUUUGGGACGGAGGUGUUAGUUA